UACGAAGGGGGCUAGCGUUGCUCGGAAUUACUGGGCGUAAAGCGCACGUAGGCGGUCUUUUAAGUCGGGGGUGAAAUCCUGGAGCUCAACUCCAGAACUGCCUUCGAUACUGGAAGACUUGAGUCCGGGAGAGGUGAGUGGAACUGCGAGUGUAGAGGUGAAAUUCGUAGAUAUUCGCAAGAACACCAGUGGCGAAGGCGGCGACCUGGACGGACACUGACGCUGAGACGCGAAAGCGUGGGGAGCAAACAGG
rnacentral:rRNA from 1 species